rnacentral:pre_miRNA from 1 species
GAUAUACUCCCUCCGUCCCAAAAUUUUUGUCUUAGAUUUAUUUAGAUAUGAAUGUAUCUAGCCAAGUUUUAGUAUUUUGAUACAUCCAUUUCUAGACAAAGCUAAGACAAGAAUUUUGAGACGGAGGGAGUAUGUA